UGCACUUGUUGUGCAAUUCUUUUUGGCAGUGUUUGAAUUACUUCUAGUGCUCAAUCUUGGGUUGGCUUCUUGUUGCUAUGCAAGCUUUUCUGUCAAGUGUACUGCACAACAUUCUGAUCUGAAAGCCAGUUGGCGAGAGUUGCUUGCUUAGAAUGAUAAUACUUUUGAUUUCAUUUUAAAGUUAAAGGAUUGUUUUAUGAAGUGUUGUCCUUAGCCUUAAGGCUCUAAAUAGUGCCAUUUUGGACCACUGAAUGAUCAUCUUUGAUAGAGAAGGAAAAGUGUCUUAUUUGCAGAUUGUCUUUAGAUGACUGACUUAAAGAACGUGCUCUUUGGAUGGGAAAACUUCAGAUCGAGAUGAGCUGAAGAAAGCCAAUGAUGAUAUGUUGUCAAGGAAGCGGUAACGCCUCUGAAAUAGGCUCAGAGAAGGACAACAAACUGUAAAACUAUGGAUUAGCAGAGUUCCUCAGCUGGAAAGAGAUGACAGAUGGGGGCAGGACUGUAUCUCCAGCUUUGAAUUCCUAUCCAGUCCUAAGGAAAUCCUGUUGCAUUACUGACAGCUGAUGCAUCAAGUGAAGUUUGAUGAUAGCAAAAAUCUCUAUUGGUGGAGUCUACAGGCUGCAGACAAACCUUGAGGAAGGUCUCCUAUAGCAGCAUGAAAGGUUUGUGUGUUCAUCUGCCUGUUUCUACAUCUAUCUUUUAUGAUGUCGACUAUCUCUGAACUGAGAAGAGAUGAAAAAGAGAUUUCAUUAGAGGAAGGGAUGGAAUAAGAUGGGAGGUAGAAGAGGAUAGGAAAAGCAUACAUUUGCAUGCAAUGAAACUUCAGUAUCAAAG
rnacentral:lncRNA from 1 species